rnacentral:rRNA from 1 species
CCUACGGGAGGCAGCAGUGGGGAAUAUUGCGCAAUGGGCGAAAGACUGACGCAGCGACGCCGCGUGAGGGAUGAAGGUCUUCGGAUCGUAAACCUCUGUCAGCAGGGAAGAACGGUCACUGUGCUAAUCAGCCGUGAAUUGACGGUACCUGCAAAGGAAGCACCGGCUAACUCCGUGACAGCAGCCGCGGUAAUACGGAGGGUGCGAGCGUUAAUCGGAAUUACUGGGCGUAAAGCGCUCGUAGGCGGUAUUUCAAGUCAAGGGUGAAAUCCCCGCGCUCAACUUUGGAACGGCCUUUGAAACUGGCAAACUGGAGUGUGUUAGAGGAUAGUGGAAUUCCAGGUGUAGGAGUGAAAUCCGUAGAUAUCUGGAGGAACAUCAGUUGCGAAGGCGACUAUCUGGCACAUAACUGACGCUGAGGAGCGAAAGCGUGGGUAGCAAACAGGAGUAGAUACCCUAGUAGUC